UUCGAUUAUAGCUCAGAUUGAACGCUGGCAGGAUCGCUACACACAGUCGAACGGCAGCACGGACUUCAGUCUGGUGGCGGGGAAGUGGCGACGGUGAGUAAUGUAUCGGAACGUGCCUAGUAGCGGGGGAUAACUUCGCGAAAGCGUAGCUAAUACCGCAUACGCCCUUCUGGGGAAAGCGGGGGACCUUCGGGCCUCGCACUAUUAAACGGCCGAUAUCGGAUUAGCUAGUUGGUGGGGUAACGGCUCGCAGGCGACGAUCCGUAGCUGGUUUGAAGGACAAACCAUCCCGCUGCCUGGGACUGGGGAACACGGCCCAGACUCCUACGGGAGGCAGCAGUGGGGGAAUUUUAGCGGACGAUGGGGGAAACCUGAUCCAGCCCAUCCCGCGUGUGCGAUGAAGGCCUUCGGGUUGUAAAGCACUUUUGGCAGGAAAGAAACGGCACGGGAUAAUACCCCGUGCAACUGACGAUACCUGCAGAAUAAGCACCCAUUGCUACGUGCCAGCAGCCGCGGUAAUACGGUGCAAGCGUUAAUCAGAUGCGAAUAAAGCGUGCAGGCGGUUCGGAAAAGAAAGAUGUGAAAUCCCAGAGCUUAACUUUGGAACUGCAUUUUUUGCUACCGAGCUGAGUGUGUCAGAGGGAGGUGGAAUUCCACGUGUAGCAGUAGAGAAGUACGUAGAUAUGCGGAGGAACACCGAUGGCGAAGGCAGCCUCCUGGGAUAACACUGACGCUCAUGCGAAAGCGUGGGGAGCAAACAGGAUUAGAUACCCUGUUGAUCCACGCCCUAAACGAUGUCAACUAGCUAUUUGGGGCCUUCGGGCUUGGUAGCGCAGCUAACGCGUGAAGGUUGACCGCCUGGGAAAUACGGUCGCAAGAUUAAAACUCAAAGGAAUUGACGGGGACCCGCACAAGCGGUGGAUGAUGUGGAUUAAUUCGAUGCAACAUGAAAACCUUACCUACCCUUGACAUGUCUGGAAUCCCGAAGAGAUUUGGGGUGCUCGCAAGAGAACCGGAACACAGGUGCUGCAUGGCUGUCGUCAGCCGUGUCGUGAAUGUUGGGUUCAGUCCCAUAGUAAACGCAAACCCUUGUCAUUAGUUGCUACGAAGGGGCAUCGCUCUGGCCAGAACCGCAUUGACCGAACCGGAAGGAGUCAGGGAUGACGUCAAGUCCUCAUGGCCCCUUAUGGGUAGAGACUUCACGUCAUACAAUGGUCGGGACAGAGAUUCGCCAACCCCGCGAGGAGCCAAUCCAGGAAACCCGAUCGUAGUCGGGAUCAUGAUCUGCAACUCAGCUGCGUAAGUCGAUCCGCUGGUAAUCGCGGAUCAGCAUGUCGCGGUGAAUACGUUCCCGGGUCUUGUACACACCGCCGUCCACCAUGGGAGUGGGUUUUACCAGAAGUAGUUAGCCUAACCGUAAGGGAGGGCGAUUACACGAUGGAUUGCAGCUGGGGUGAAGUCGUUGGGCAAG
rnacentral:rRNA from 1 species